rfam:Ictidomys tridecemlineatus contig052013, whole genome shotgun sequence.
GGGAUUGUGGCUCAAUGGUAGAGCGCUUGCCUAGCACAUGAAAGGGCCUGAGUUCGAUCCUCAGCACCA